rfam:Burkholderia calidae type strain LMG 29321 genome assembly, contig: contig000221
CCGGUCGUUCCGUCGACCGUAGCCUACCGGUGCAUGCGUUGUUGGCAACGACGACGUGUGAAGCCACCGGGACAACGUGGCUGGCCUCUGGCCUAGCUGGCUCCGUGAGGAGAGGUAACGCCUGCGAGCGUUGAUGCGGGUGAGCUG